rnacentral:lncRNA from 1 species
GGACCCAAUACCAGAUACUACAUUGCAUUUAAACCAAUAAUAUUCUCAAAUUUUUUUCUGGGCCAGAAUCCGAACCUGGAUUACCUAUUGUAUUUAGUUGUCAUAUUUCUUUAGACUUUUUUUUUUUUUUUUUGGUCUUUUUAGGGCCAUACUCAUGGCAUAUGGAAGUUCCCAGGCUAGGGGUCAAAUUAGAGCUGCAGCUACAUGGGAUCUGGGCCGCAUCUGCAACCUACGCCACAGCUCACGGCAACACUGAGUCCUUAACCCACUGAGGGAGGCCAGGGAUCGAACCUGUGUCCUCAUGGAUACUAUUCAGGUUUGUUACCACUGAGCCACAAUGGGAACUUAGGUCUUUUCUUAAUAUAAAGUCCAAAUGCAAGUUCACCUUUUUUGGGGGAAGGGAGCCUCACCCACAGCAUGCAGAAGUUUCUGGGGCCAGGGACUGAACCCAUGCCACAGCAGUGACAAGGCCAGAUCCUUAACCCACUAGGCCACCAGGGAAUUCUUCUUUAGAGUCCAUUAUCUGGAACAAUUCCUCAGCCUUUCAACAUCUUUCAUGACUUCAAUAUCUUUGGAGAGAGUACAAACCAGUUAUUUUGUAGAGUGUACCUCAGUUUUGGUUGGUCUGAUGUUUCCUCAUGACUAGAUUCAAGUAGGUUAUGCACGUUAGCAAGUCUAUCACAUAAGUAAUAUUCUCAGCAUUUCAUGUCAGGAGGCACAAUGUCAACUUGCCUCAUUACCAGUGAUCUUAACUUUGAUUACUUGGGUAAUGUGGCAUUCACCGCGUUUCUACUUUGAAAAAUCACCAUUUUUCCCUUUGUAAUUAAGUAAUCUGCAGUGGAAAUGAGACCCUGUUCCUCGUCUUUCACUAGAGUGCUAGUUUAGCGCUCUGGUAACCUGCCCGUUCCCCUUCCAUCUUUUUUUCUCCUUCUUGAUUCUUUUUUUUCUUUUUGCCAAAGAAACCAGCAAUUUGCCUCAUUGAAAUUUCCCCAGUCUAGAUUUUUCAGGUCAUGUUCUCUUAAACCCAUUCCAGAUAGGCUUUGCCUUGCACCACUCCACUAAAACUGUUCUUGUAAAGGUCACCAAUAAAAUUCUAAUUACUAUAUCAAAUGACUAAGUUGUCAGUCUUAACUGUCCACAGUUUAGGACACAAUGUAUCACUCCAUUCUCUUUGAAGCUUUUUUUUUUUUUCACUUGGCUGACAGCAUCCACAUCUUCCUGCUUCUCCUCUUACCUCACUGAUUUUUCCUUCAGUCUCUCUGCUAUUUCCUUCUCAUCUCUACAACCUUCCAACUCAGGCUCAAUACUCAGGCCUCUUCUCAUCUCUUUCUACAAGCUCUUCAUUGGUAACCUCAUUUGUCUGAUGGUUUUAAAGUCUAUCUAUAUAACAUCUCCCGACUUUAUUUCUUGCAAACAUAUCCCCUGAACUCAUGCGUAUUUGCCGAACUUCACCACCUGGUUUUCUCUAACCAGCAUUUCAAACUCAACACAGGUCCUGAUGUUCAAAACAGGUCCCGAUUUCCCUUUGUCCCUAGAUGUGCUCCUCCUGCAAUAUUCUCCACCUCAUCUGAUGGCAGUUCCAUCUUUUCAUUUGCUCAGAUUGAGUCUCCUUUUCUCUCUCAUACCUUACAUAUGAUCUACAAUAGAUCAUAUGGAGUUUGCCUUCAAAUAGACUUUGAAUGCAACUACUUCUCACUAGGUCUUCUGUUACUACUUGGUCUGAGCCACGACCAUCUUCAUUAUUCUAAUAACCUCCUAACUGGUUGUACUCUGGCUUUCCUCUAGUUUAUUCUCCAUGCAGCAGCCAGAGUGAUCUUACUAAAACUUGAGCCAGACCAUGCCACUCCUCAAAAUUCUCCAGUGGCCUCUCUUUUCACUCAAAUGAAAAGCCGAAGUCCUCAACGUUGAUGCAAGUCCCCCCAUAGUCUGGGCCCUCAUGCCUCCUUCCUUCUCUAUUAUUCUUCCAUCUCCAGGCACAAGGCUCUCCUUGCUGUUUUUUAAACAUGUUUGGCAAUUUCUGCUCCAGGUCUUUGCUCUUGCUGUUUCCUCUACUUAAAACCCUUUUUCAUCUGGCAUGAAUUUGCGCCUUCAUUUACUUCAGGUCACUUUCUUCAGGCCUUUGCUCAAAUAUCUUCUUCUAAGAGAGACAUUCCUUGACCACUCUGUUUAAAAUGCAACCCUCCAUCCCCUUUCAUUACGCUAGUUUUCUCCACAGCAUUUUGCAAUAUCUAAUAAAACAGAACACUUGCUUUAUGAAGGAAGGUAUUUUCAUCUGUUUUGUUCACUAUUCCACACCCAAUUCAAUGCCUGGUACAUAGCAGGAGUUCAGCAACAAGUUUUUGUAACAUGACUAUCAGAUACAUGCUUACCAUAAAGCCUGACAGUAUACAGUACAUACACAUUAAAAAAGAGAGAGCGAGCCCAGGGUGGUAGUGAGAAAAGGGGAGAAGAGUCUGAAGAAACCUGUAAAGGAGAAAUUGUCCCAAACCUCAUCUGAGAAAAAGGUUGUUUGUGUGUGUGUGGGGGGGGGGGGGUUUGUUUGUUUUGGGGUUUUUUUUGCAUACUAUCAUUCCUGACAAGUAAUGGAAUUAAGAUUUAUUUUAGAAACUAGUUGUCCACCCACCGUGAUGCCUGCCAUAUAUACUCUCCUUUUUGUAGCUCACCAGCAAUGAUUGUGUAACCCUUCUCUCUUCCUCAGAAAAACUCCUUUUCCUGAGUGAAAGUUGAAAUUGACCUCUUGCUGUUCCCGUAUAGCUAGAUGGUAAUAGGACUUUGAAACAUACUCAUAACUAGGCUACCUGAAACAAGAAACCCUUUUAAACAUGGCUCUAAUACAUUAAUUUACAUAGUUUGUCUUUUAAAAUUAAGUUGCUGUCACUCCAGUGUUACUAAAAUGAAAACGCUUUUCUAAAAUAAAGUACGAAACCCUAAUUAACUGUUUUCUAUUUACCAUGCCUGCAUGGCGUGCGUGUCUACAGUCAGGUCUGUACUAAUCGGUAGAAACCGGCGCACGUUCCCCUUCAGCACGACCAGCGCGCUCCGCCGGGCCCCAACCACGGCGAACGAGAGCGCGGCGCUGGGGGACGCGGCACCCCACGCCUUCCGGUCGCCCUCGCCGCGAGCCCGGCCGGAAGCCGGAACCGGGGGAAUUUCCCAGAGAGCCCCGGGGGAUUUUCCCAGAGGGCCCCGGGGGAGCUGGCGGGGCGCUACUUCCGCACACGCGCAGUAGCGGCAUCGGGACGCGCCCGCGUUCCUCCGCGUGGGUCAGUCCUGCGCGGCCGGUGACCCUGCAGGGCUUGAGCCGGUGGGAGAGGAGAGGCCGGCUAGUCGGUGCCUGAGAAGGAAGUAAGAUUGCAGGUGACCCCUGUGCGCGGGGGCGUUUAGCGCAGAGAAAGUCGCGUGCGGGCAGGGCGCGCAUCUGCCCGGCGGCGGGGCCGGGGCGGGCCGGGCUGCGGGGCUGUGCUGGAGGUCGUGGUGCCGCUCAGGGAGCCCACGCCUGGGCGUGAAGCCGCAGCUCAGCGCGUUCCAAGAGCCUUUUAACGCGCCGAAGGCAGUAAACGCGUUCAGAGCGGCGGGGAAGAGGACCGAUAUAUCCAGUGCCAGACACUGUUAAGCUUUUUUUUUUUUUUGUAGUAUGGCAUUUAUUUAUCACUGUUACUUUGGGAUGUAAUUAUCCUCGUACUGCUUACAGAGAAGUGUGAAGCUGCUUCAAAUCACACAGCUAGUAAGUGGAGGAGCUGGUGUUCAAACGCAGUGCCGUUUUACCUGAAUUUCACUAGUUUUGGAACAUAGUACUUUGCCUAAAAGAGUUAGUGUUCUUGAGUAAAUACUAAGUGAACUUCAACUUGUGAUCAUUGUUACUGAGAGAACUCUUGGUGUCUCUGCAGGAAGACUGUGUGAUUGAACCUGUGGAUCCCUGUCGCGUAUUUCUGCCUGAUUCAUUUUCCAGCGACCCUGGUGAAAAUCUACAAAAAGCCACCCUAGGGCCACAGGAUGGAGAGAGAAGAAUCAAUUUUUGUCUCUUCUAUCCAGUGAGAGGAGAGUUUGACUCACCGCAUUACAUGAACCAUCAAGAACUGUGUCCAUGGAAGUGUGGUCCCAAAUGUUUGAGGAGAAAGCUCUCCUGUGUACCUUAUUGCAAGGAACAAUGAACAGUGAACAUGAUUAGAGGAAUUUCUCUGAAUUCCCUCCACAUGCCCAGUGGUGCUCACUAUGGAUGGAAGAUGAAUGUACUGUCACAGAAGUUAUCUGCUUACUUGGUGAUGAGCUAGAAAGACAGGAAGGAGAAAGAAGGAAGCAAAGACAAUUUUUUGAACCAAGGAAUGUUCACCUUCAAGAAAGCACUGACCAACAAAAUAGUCCAAAAUUGUAAUCUGAGUAUAAACCUUAUUUCUUCAAGACAAAAACGGCAUAAAUGUGAAUCAAAUGGAAAGAGUUUGCAGCCUAAUUUACACUUACUUAAUUAUAGUAAAAGUUAUUUGAGAGAAAACUCUUAUGAAUACAAGGAAUAUGGAAAAGCCUUCAAAAACAAGUUAUGUCUCAUUAGACAUGAAAAAAAGCAUACAAGGAAAAAAACCUUUGGGUGCGAUGAAUGUGGGAAAGCCUUCCAAAAGAAGUCUCGUCUCAUUAGACAUGAAAAAAAGCAUACAAGGGGGAAAAAAAGCCUUUGAAUGCAGUGACUGUGGGAAAGCCUUUACCAGUAAGGGACACCUUGUAGCUCAUCAAAAAAUCCAUAGCGGAGAGAGACCCUUUGUGUGCAGUGAUUGUGGGAAAGCGUUUAUGCAUAAAGCAUAACUCGUGGUCCACCAGAGACUCCACACUGGGGAGAAGCCUUAUGAAUGUAGUCAGUGUGGGAAAUCAUUCACCUGGCAUUCCUCCUUCACUCAGCACGUAAAGUCCCACACACCCGAGAACUCAUUUGAGUGUAAAGAAUGUGGGAAAACCUUCAAGUACAGUUUAUCCCUUUAUAAACACUCUGGAAAUCACACCGGCGAGAAACCGUACCACUGUAGAGAAUGUGGCAAAGCCUUUGGGGACUCCUUAGUGCUGGUCAUGCAUCAGAGGAUUCACACAGGUGAGAAACCUCACAGGCGCACUGAGUGUGGCAAAGCCUUCAUCAAGAAAUCACAUCUCCUUAAACAUUACUUAACUCACACAGCAGAGCAGCAAAAUAAAUGCAACACAUGUGGGAAAUCUUUUAAGCGGAAGACACAUUUCAUUCUCCAUCAAAGAAAUCAUAAAAACAAUGGAGCUUUGUAAAUGUGGGAAAACUUAAAAUUAGCCUUUUAAUAAAGCAGCAAAGAAUUCAUCAUGGGAGAAACCCUAUCAGCUGAAUAAAUGUGGAAAAGCCUGUUCUGAAAUUCAUUUUUUGUAAGUGAUACUACUUACUGAAAAGAUUACAGAAAAUUUUAAGCUGUAAAUAGACAACUUUACUGAACAGAAAAGCUGAGGAAAUUUUGAAAAACUGAAUAAGGCAUCAGACUGACUAACUGCAUAUAUACACUGUCCCUAUUUUAUGGUUUUUAAACAAAUUGUACAAAUGUCUGCAUUGCUUAAGAAAUUGUGUAGCCAUAGGUAUGAAAUAUAUGCUAUGCACAUAAUACAGAGUUAUGUCUGUUAUGAUGAUUGCAGAGCAUUGUAAAUGUACUUAAUGCCAAUGAAUUACACACUUAAAAUGGCUUAAAGAGUAAAUUUUAUGUUCUAUCAAAA